rnacentral:tRNA from 1 species
UUACUCAUUUCUCAGUGGUUAGAGCACUGCACCGGCAUCGCAGAGGUCAUGGGUUCGAAUCCCGUUGAGUCAC